rnacentral:lncRNA from 1 species
UAACCAUCGAAGCUGAAAUUUCUCAAAACUAGUAAAUAUGUGAUUUGUGCUUUGACGAUAUAUGUGACAACACAGCCCGAACUCUUAUAAAUCCUCUGUUUCCACAAAACAAAAGGUGUGAACUCUAUAUAUGGUCCUUUUAACUUUUCGUGAAAUUCCAUUGUGUCUAAAACAAACGAGCCACAACAAUACUCGUUAAAAAAAAA